AAGGAUCCAGCCCACCAGCCAGAUCUACUUCCCUACUCCUGCUUUAGGAAUAGAGUUCCUUUCCUCAGGGAUGAAGUUUAUCAUAGCUUAUUUCAGGCACACGAAGAAGAAAAAAAAUGAAGCACUUCUCUCACACACACCAGCUUGCAGAGGUUGCAAGGACACAUGUUCAAGUGGAAUGCCUGUCUCAGAUUUGGAUCAGGUUAUGACAGACGAAGCCAGAGGUUGUAAUCAACUGGGGGCAGAAAUCAAUUCAGAAAAAAUUGAAGGGAGGAAAGAGGCC